UACACACCGCCCGUCACACCACGAAAGCCUGUUGUACCCGAAGCCGGUGAGCUAACCCGCAAGGGAAGCAGCUGUCUAAGGUAUGGCCGGUGAUUGGGGUG
rnacentral:rRNA from 1 species